AUUUCAUUUUUGUAGCCGACGGCGCCCUCUCUUCUCUGGAGUCCAGACUCUCUGCCCUCUCGUCUUUGCCCUCUCGUGAUCUCGUCUCUGCCCAUCUCGUCUCCGCCGCCGCUCGUCUCCGCCUCCGGUCGUCUCCGCCGCCACUACACUCUAAUCAGCUUUGACCGCGACUAGAAAAAGAUUGAAGCAUUUGUUGGGUCUAAGUCAGUUAUACAGAUGGCGCUCAAUCAAGGAACGAAGCAUCCUUGGACGGUGACUAUGUGGAUUUGUAAUUUUUGAAUUUUGGAUUUGUAAUGUCUUGGACUAUUUGGUUAUUUGGAUUUGUUUGGUUUGUAAUUUAGAAUAUGUGCCUAUGUGGUUAUUUUGGAUUUGUAAUGUCUUGGAGUAUUUGUUUAUUUGGAUUUGUUUGGUACUUUGGUUUUAGAAUUUGGAGUAUGUGCCUAUGUGGUUAUUUUGGAUU